rnacentral:rRNA from 1 species
GACGAGCCACACAAACGUUAUUCGGAAUUACUGGGCUUAAAGGGUGCGUAGGCUGCGCGGAAAGUAGGGUGUGAAAUCCCUCGGCUCAACCGAGGAACUGCGCUCUAAACUACCGUGCUCGAGGGAGGUAGAGGUGAGCGGAACUGAGGGUGGAGCGGUGAAAUGCGUUGAUAUCCUCAGGAACACCGGUGGCGAAAGCGGCUCACUGGACCUCUUCUGACGCUGAGGCACGAAAGCUAGGGUAGGCGAACGGG